UUUAGGCCUCUGCUGGAAACGUGCAUACCUAUAAUAAAAAGAGUAUAUCUCUGCAACCACAAGGUAUAUUUGAAUAAUUCUGGUGUCAUAAUAAAGGGAACACUUGUGAGAUUUGUUCAGGUGUGUAAAUAUCAGUAUGUAUGUUACUGAGUCAGAAUAAAAUACAAUACAAUACAAUACAAUAAA